AAACUUUGACUGACUCACCAGAUCUGUUUUGCUACACGGAAACCAAAAACACAAUCGUAUCAAUUUUUAAAAAUGUGCCAGCGAAAUGUGGUUGGCCGUCAUAUACCGAGUUAGUCCAAAACAGCCCACCCGGCUAGCUUAAAGUUCUCAUGACACCAUUUUAUUUUGUUUAAAAAAACAAAGCAUGAAGUUACGUCUGGCUAACGUAAUGGCGGGGGUGUGGAAGUCCUUCUGCAAAACAUGCAAUUACGGAUGGACUUGAUGAUCAAACACAAGAGCAAAGGUACAAGGCUCCAGGCACAGCCCAGCACUGUUCAAGCCGGGGCCAACAGAAGCUGUGCAGCCAGAUGGAGUUGAAACGGCUCCUGAAUAGAGAAUCUCAGAAUCUGAUUCAUUGUGCUCAGCCAAACCCACGGUAAUUACAAAAACAGCGCUUGGUUCACUAAUAAUGGGUGCGUGUCAUCUCCAAUCCCCAGACCGCCUGUCUGUCCACGCCACAGAGGCAGCAAUUACAGGCUUGGACCUUCCACUGGACAUGUUCACAGUAAAGUGUGCAGGGGGAACAGUGGACUGUGUGUGGGGGCGAGGCAUGACGGACCGGUGUCAUGGCAGACAAUAGAAGUUAAUCGUGGUGUGACCCCCACAACUAAUUUGGGAGCUUAAGUUCUUUUAAGAAGUGUCAGUCUCACCGGUAUGUGGUGGUGUCUGCUGCCUUCAUGGCACCGUGAGUCAGACUGUGGAGCGGUGACCUCUCGUGAUUUCCGAUGGGUGGACGAGCUCAUUGGGGAGGAAAACAGAAAAACAUUUUAAAAGUCAGCAAGGAAGAGAAAGCACGAGGAAAAAGCCCUGAAGGCAAAUGGCAGGCAACAUCAGUGCCGUUAGACGGAGCCACUUAAGCUGUCAUGCAAGAGUACGUGAACGCACCAGUGAACGCACACAGUCAGCAUCACUGAACACAUUAUACAGAGACAGUCAUGAAAGUGAUGGUAUCACCCAAACCCAAAGCCUUUUGGUAAAAUAGUCAAAUGACUAAAUAUUUCUAACAGUAGAAUAUAAUAUUGCAUCCGUUUUUAUUCAUCUUCUAUUUAUCUGUAUCUAUAUUAUUUAUCAGUAGUUGCUGCUUUGUUAGUUUUUCAUUGUAAUACAACCUAUUAGUCCUCAUAAUAGAUAUCUAGCUAGUAUUUUACUGGAAUUAUAUUUCUUUACUGUCUACGAGGAGAAAUUCAAUCAGCUGACCUCAAAGACAAAUCAGACCAAGUGGUGUAAACUCUCCAGAGAUAUUUGGUUUGUCAGAGUUGAUCAGAUCCGCAGAGGCAUAAGCAGACACUCAGGAAUAAUGCGUGGUGGCAUUGAGCUGAGCUUACUAGCUGAUAUGUUCAGACUGGGAGAAUGAAGCGGAGAGCCUGUAUGGAUGGAGAUGAUGAUGGUUGAUUUCUCUCACACAAGUCUGUCUCUCUAUCCCCCUCCUCUCUCUCUUUGUACGUAAUGACAAUUUCUAUUUGAUUUCUCGGCCAAAAUGUAUGAUCUGGUAAUUGUGUUUGGCUAUGCAGGCAUGCAUGAAACUCGCUACUUGAAAAGAGCGUGCAAAAUAGCACGUUGAUUUUUAUCAGUUGUACAUAUUUCUGUGGAGGACAGCCGUGAAUGGCAGUGACGUGUGGUGAGGUUCAUGGAUAGUGAGGCACUGACUCCUUUGUUUUCUAUGUUAAUACAGGCGGCUCAUUAAGAGGAUGACCAAAAAAGACGGUACUAUUCACUUUGGUGGUACAGUAAACCUCGGAUAUAUCGGAAAUUCGCUCACAACGGACAGAUAAAAAAGAACCGAUUUUUCUGUAAUGCAUUUCCAAUAAAAAUUCAUUGCAUAUAUCGGAUUUUUUAUAACGGAUUUCGCCUAUUUCGGACAAAAUCUCCAG